rnacentral:rRNA from 1 species
UGGGGAAUAUUGGACAAUGGGCGAAAGCCUGAUCCAGCCAUGCCGCGUGUGUGAAGAAGGUCUUCGGAUUGUAAAGCACUUUAAGUUGGGAGGAAGGGCAGUAAAUUAAUACUUUGCUGUUUUGACGUUACCGACAGAAUAAGCACCGGCUAACUCUGUGCCAGCAGCCGCGGUAAUACAGAGGGUGCAAGCGUUAAUCGGAAUUACUGGGCGUAAAGCGCGCGUAGGUGGUUCGUUAAGUUGGAUGUGAAAUCCCCGGGCUCAACCUGGGAACUGCAUUCAAAACUGACGAGCUAGAGUAUGGUAGAGGGUGGUGGAAUUUCCUGUGUAGCGGUGAAAUGCGUAGAUAUAGGAAGGAACACCAGUGGCGAAGGCGACCACCUGGACUGAUACUGACACUGAGGUGCGAAAGCGUGGGGGAGCAAAAGCAG